AUUGAACGCUGGCGGCAGGCUUAACACAUGCAAGUCGAGCCAGCGGCGGACGGGUGAGUAAUGUCUGGGAAACUGCCUGAUGGAGGGGGAUAACUACUGGAAACGGUAGCUAAUACCGCAUUCCAUCAGUUGUGCCCAGAUGGGAUUAGCUAGUAGGUGGGGUAAUGGCUCAACUAGGCGACGAUCCCUAGCUGGUCUGCGAGGAUGACCAGCCACACAGGAACGGAGACUCGGUCCAGACUCCGACGAGAGGCAGCAGUGGGGAAUAUUGCACAAUGGGCGCAAGCCUGAUGCAGCCAUGCCGCGUGUGUGAGGAAGGCCUUCGGGUUGUAAAGCACUGUCAGCGAGGAGGCGUUACUCGCAGAAGAAGAACCGGCUAACUCCGUGCCAGCAGCCGCGGUAAUAC
rnacentral:rRNA from 1 species